rnacentral:rRNA from 1 species
GAUGAACGCUGGCGGCGUGCUUAACACAUGCAAGUCGAACGGUGAAGGCGGAGCUUGCUCUGCUGGAUCAGUGGCGAACGGGUGAGUAACACGUGAGCAAUCUGCCCCUGACUCUGGGAUAAGCUCUGGAAACGGCGUCUAAUACUGGAUACGAGCUGCGACGGCAUCUUCAGCAGCUGGAAAGAAUUUCGGUCAGGGAUGAGCUCGCGGCCUAUCAGCUUGUUGGUGAGGUAAUGGCUCACCAAGGCGUCGACGGGUAGCCGGCCUGAGAGGGUGACCGGCCACACUGGGACUGAGACACGGCCCAGACUCCUACGGGAGGCAGCAGUGGGGAAUAUUGCACAAUGGGCGAAAGCCUGAUGCAGCAACGCCGCGUGAGGGACGACGGCCUUCGGGUUGUAAACCUCUUUUAGCAGGGAAGAAGCGAAAGUGACGGUACCUGCAGAAAAAGCGCCGGCUAACUACGUG